AUUUAAAUUGACCUGGAGGAAAUAGGGAAGGUCUUAUAGAGAAGAACAUAUUUCAGCUGGGUCUUGGAAUUUGCCACAGAAAGAAGAUAUGGGUAGAAAAAGGUCAAGGGUCACGUGAGUUGAGUUAAAUUGAGAAGCAUAUUGGGUUAAGAGAAAUUCCCAGGAGAAUAAGUUAAGAAAAUCUUAUAUCAGUGCCAGGAGAGGUCACAUUAAUAGGAACGAUGGACCCUAGAGUCAAAGAGAGGUGGGGUUGGGGAGGAUGCAAAGAUAAGGAUAAGACUCGUGACUUCUUAUCCUUAGUCAGAGUGUAGAGGACAGCAAGCCAGGUGGUCCUUGCAAGCUGUUUUGGCCGUCAGAGCCCAUCUCAUCUGUUCUUGAAGCGUCAGUGGUGAGAUAUUGGAUGUGACAUCUUACUGGAACAGUAGGAUGAAUUCUGAUUUCAUGUACCUUCGCCCAACUUUGAGCUCUCCGGUAGGUGGAAUCUUCUCUAGGGAUGGAAAAGUUGUGAAAAUUUGCAGUGUGUCAGGAAAUUUGGCAGUAGGAACUGGAAUCCUAUAUUUGAUAUAUGGUGUCAUCCUAUAUCCUAAUGUAUGAAAUUUGGUAUCAGGCUAUUUUGGAUAUAAGGGUCUAGCAUAGCUUGCGGUAUAAAUGUACUCUUCCUUUAAGCCAAGCUUCUUGGAGCAUUUUGAGCAAUAAACUUGAACUUGCCAGAUGCAUUGGGAUUUUUUAAAUAGACUUCCUUAACUGAAAAGUUACAUGGCAAUUGAAGUGGCAGAGCUGCUGAUGCCAGUGCCGAGGGGACAGUGAAUACCCUAGAAGCUGGAUGCUAUGAUUUUGACAUAUGGGUUUUAAGGAAUUGGAGGAAAGAAAGCUCAAUAUCUGAAAUUUUGACUCAGAGAGAGUUUGCAGGUGCCUAUGGCUCUGGAGAACCAAAUAUAACAGCUCCGGAAGAAGGAAUGGGGCUUGAAUGCCAGGCAUUAUGUUAGAAACUUUCUCAUCUGCCAGGCCAUUUGAUCUUCACCCAACAAGGCUAGAGGCAAGGACUUAGCAUCACCACAUUCAGUUGAGAAAAUGGGUGUUCACGAAAGAUUUGAUAACUUAUCCAGAAUCUCACAUAGCUAAAAGGUGGCAGAACCAGGAUUCAAACCCAGGCCUGCAGGAUGCCAAUAGCUUUCUCCUAGUCAACCCCUUGACUUCUUUCUGAAGAUCUCUUCUCUUUUCCCAUGAGCUCUGGUCUACCUAGAGGGCCCUGGGCAUCUCUUUUGAUGGCUUGGGAGCCAGAGAAGCAGCCUCCAGUAGUUUCACAAAAUACACCUGAAUCAGGUUGCAGUGAUUUAAUAAUGAAGCCAGAUUUAUGGAGUUAAGAAACAUUAAGUCCUUCCUUUCCUUUCCUGGGGUUGAGGGGCCUUCUUGCUGCCAACCAAAAACCACAGUGGUUUCUCAUUCUCUAAGGCUGCACUUGGAGGCUCAGGCUUCCAAGAUACAGGAAAUAUAGACGAGCACAUUUUCAAAGUUCUCACAACACGGAGAGAGCCGACUCAGCAGUCAUCCAGGGUCCAACUCACUCUGAAUGGGCAAUUUUCCCAGGCCCUGAAGCGACAUCUGGAAUUGGACAUAAAAGCUCAGAUCCUCUAUUCAAGCUGUCCUUCAUGGUCCACUUAGAAUGAAUGACCAAAACUCCAGGAAGCUCCAGCCUCCUCUGACAGGAUUCCAGGAGAUAAGGCUGGAAACUCUCCCCUCUAGUCAGAGUUGGGAUCAUCCACCACCACAGUCCACCCCUGGUGCCUUCGUCUUGGAAAGACAGUGGAAAUCACCUAUGGCGUUUCCCAGAGCAGAGGAUGACUGUGAUGGCUGGUCCUGGAAGAGCAGAGAGCCAGAGGCCCAGGGGUGAGAAGGCAUAGCUUUCCUGUUCUUCUCCCUGCUCUUUGCGUGGCUGGUUCCUUCUCAUCUUUCAGCUGUCAGCUUUGAUCUCACCUUCUCCAAGAGGACACGUAGGAUCCCUCCUUCUAAAUGUCAGAGCUGGUAUUAUCUACUUCCAGUCGUUUUCCAACUCUCUUUCUUGGACCUCAAGGGACCAUAGACGACAAAAUGGGAGCCCAAAGGACAGUGCUUCAGCCAUAAUGCCACCUAAUCAUCAACCAGAACAGGUCUUAAUUUAUAUUUUUAUAUUAAAAAAUCGUUUGGAAAAAUAAUUAUGCUAUUUAGAAAAAAAAUAUUUUGGCAUUUUGCAGGAGAGCAAUCUUAGGCUCAAAGAAGAUGUAAAUCUUUGAAGAUCACGUAGUUGGUUUUAAUAUCAAAGUGAAGUUUAGAUUACAUGUCUCCUAACUUUCAAAUCAGUGCUUAUUCCAAAUAUCACAAAAGUUUAUUUUUUUAUAUUUAAAUCUUGUAUGAAAUGUUAAAAUUGGCUUUUCAUGGCAUCUGCAAGCUAUAGCACGUCAUGUUAUACUACAACUCUACAAAGACCCAUCUUUGACCAAUUGAAGUAGGCUUCUUGGAAAAGACCUGAAAUCAUACAGUAUUUUGAUGGUAAUCAAUUCAGGCCUGUCCUGUUGCUGAAUGAAUAUGUUCAGUCCUCUCAUUUUCCAAGGAAUGACUACAGAAAUCCCCCUUUCUCUUGGUCAUUGUUUUUAGCACGUUGUAUACUUGUUUGAUUUGUGAUAUCCCAAGCAAAAAGGCAGGCUGAGGCUUCUGCCUAGGCUGUUCUGAUUGGUUGGUUGCUUUGAGACAUCAUAAAGAAAGCCCUAAGGACCAAGUCAGAUCAUAGCAUGUUUGACUUAAUUCAAAAUGCCAUCGUUAUUACAUUUAGUUAUUCUUUUCAUUGAGGUAUAAUACAAAAACAAGAAAGUGCACCCAUUUAAGUGUAUAGCUCAUUGAAUGUGUUCAUAUCAAUGCAAUCAUACAACCUCAACUCAGGUCAAACUAAGAUCAUCUCCAGCACCUAGAAGGCUCCUCUGUGCUACUGCAUAGUCAACAACGGCCCUCUGCCAAGCAAAAGCCAAUAGUAUGAUUCUAUCAUCAUGGAUUUGUUUUGCCUGUUCUUAAACAUCAUAUUAAUGAAAUCAAGCAAUAUAUAUUCUGCUGUGUCUUUUUUCAUUCAUCAUUAUAACUGUGAGAUUCAUCCAUGCCAUUGCAUGUAUCAAGAGUUUGUCUCUUUCUAUUGCUCAGUAGAUAAGAUUACAGUGAAUGAUUUAAUCACAAUUUGCUUGUCCAUCUUCCUGUUGAUGGGCAUUUGGGUUGUUUCCAGAUUUGGGCUAUAAUGAAUAAAGUUGCUUUGAACAUUCUUGCCUGACUUUUGGUGGACUUAUGCACUCAUUUUUUCUUGAGACUAUCCUAGGAGUGAAAUUAAUGGGUCAUGGGUUAAGCAACUGUUUGAUCUUAAUAGAUAUUAUUAGUUUUCCAAAGUAUUUUAAUCAAUUCACAAUGUAUGAUAAUUCCAGUUGCUUCCCAUGCUCUUCAAUAUGUGUUUUUCUUCUUUACUGUAGUUUUGAUUUCCAUUUCUUUAAUGACUAAUGGUUCGAGUUCCUUUGCAUAUGCUUAUUGACAUUUUAGAUAUCUCUUUUGAUAAGUGACUGUUAAAUUAUUUUGUUCAUUUAUUAAUUGGGCAUUUGGUCUUUUUCUUAUGAUUUGUAGGUGUUCUUUGUAUAUUAUUUUAUAUAUGUAUUUAUUUAUUUUUCUAGCUUUAUCGAGAUAUAAUUGACAAAUAACAUUGUAUAAGCUUAAGAUGUGCAAUACGAUGAUUUGAUA
ensembl:lncRNA